rnacentral:rRNA from 1 species
AGAGUUUGAUCAUGGCUCAGAAUCAACGCUGGCGGCGCGCCUAACACAUGCAAGUCGAACGAGAAAGCAGGAGCAAUCUUGUGAGUAAAGUGGCGUACGGGUGAGUAACACGUGGAUCAUCUACCCUCUUGUGGGGGAUAACUCUGGGAAACCGGAGCUAAUACCGCAUAAGUCCGAGAGGAGAAAGCAGCAAUGCGCAGGAGGAGGAGUCCGCGGCCGAUUAGCUAGUUGGUAGGGUAAAAGCCUACCAAGGCUACGAUCGGUAGCCGGCCUGAGAGGGCACACGGCCACACUGGCACUGAAACACGGGCCAGACUCCUACGGGAGGCAGCAGUGGGGAAUCUUGCACAAUGGGGGCAACCCUGAUGCAGCGACGCCGCGUGAGCGAUGAAGCCCUUCGGGGUGUAAAGCUCUUUCGGCAGGGAAGAUUAUGACGGUACCUGCAGAAGCAGCUGCGGCUAACUACGUGCCAGCAGCCGCGGUAAUACGUAGGCAGCAAGCGUUGUUCGGAGUUACUGGGCGUAAAGGGUGUGUAGGCGGUCUUCUAAGUUUGGUGUGAAAUCUCCCGGCUCAACUGGGAGGGUGCGCCGAAAACUGGGAGGCUAGAGUGCGGGAUGGGAGAGUGGAAUUCCUGGUGUAGCGGUGAAAUGCGUAGAUAUCAGGAGGAACACCUGUGGUGUAGACGGCUCUCUGGACCGCAACUGACGCUGAGACACGAAAGCGUGGGUAGCAAACAGGAUUAGAUACCCUAGUAGUCC